AUACGGGAGGCAGCAGUAGGGAAUAUUGCACAAUGGGCGAAAGCCUGAUGCAGCAACGCCGCGUGCGCGAUGAAGGUCUUCGGAUCGUAAAGCGCUUUUCUGCGAGAUGAGAAAGGACAGUAUCGUAGGAAUAAGUCUCGGCUAACUACGUGCCAGCAGCCGCGGUAACACGUAGGAGGCGAGCGUUAUCCGGAUUCACUGGGCGUAAAGCGCGUGCAGGCGGUUCGGUAAGUUGGGCGUGAAAUCUCCCGGCUCAACUGGGAGAGGUCGUUCAAUACUACCGAACUUGAGAGCGAUAGAGGAAAAUGGAAUUCCAGGUGUAGUGGUGAAAUGCGUAGAUAUCUGGAGGAACACCAGUGGCGAAAGCGAUUUUCUGGAUCGUUUCUGACGCUCAGACGCGAAAGCUAGGGUAGCAAACGGGAUUAGAUACCCCGGUAGUCC
rnacentral:rRNA from 1 species